CCAGUCGCAACGAACAGUGGAGCAGCUGCUCCAACGAAUGCCGGACAAACAGAAAGCCCAAGACAUGCCGGAGGUCAUCGAACAGUACGCAGCCUAUUCUGGUUUAUCGUGUAUGUUCGCGUAGUUGCUGUCCGCUGUGGUACGUUGUUGCAGCCUAUGCUGGUGAAACAUCUUUCUACAUCAAAAUCAAUUGGCCGUUCCUUGGUGCUGGUGUCGUGUUUCCGAAGUUGUAUUAUUAUUUUACUAAAUUGGCAUUGUGUCAAUGUAGUAUACCGUUAAUAUGUUAAGAAGGAACAAAAAAGAAAUAUGGGGAUGUUUAUGUCAAAUAAAUAAUAAACAUGUUUUCGGGAUUGGGAAAGGAAAGAGGAGGAUGUUGGAGGGGGGAUAUUUCAAGUUUGGUUAAAAAACAGUUAAUUUAUAACCCUACAAACAUAUCCCUACCAAUUAAUCUCCAAACCCCACAUACUUAUACCUUCUAAUUCUUCUGACCCCAUAAACAUUACACCUACCAACCCUCAAAUGUAUACCCUAAACCACAUAAACCAAUGUCAAACCCUAUGUCUUUAAUAAAUAAAAAAAUUUAAUACAUCAAACUAGUUUUUA